UACGGAGGGAGCAAGCGUUACUCGGAAUUACUGGGCGUAAAGCGUGCGCAGGCGGCUUUGCAAGACAGAUGUGAAAUCCCCGGGCUCAACCUGGGAACUGCAUUUGUGACUGCAUGGCUAGAGUGCGGCAGAGGGGGAUGGAAUUCCGCGUGUAGCAGUGAAAUGCGUAGAUAUGCGGAGGAACACCGAUGGCGAAGGCAAUCCCCUGGGCCUGCACUGACGCUCAUGCACGAAAGCGUGGGGAGCAAACAGG
rnacentral:rRNA from 1 species